AAUUUAAUACGUUUUAUUAUCAUAUGCAAUGUUAAUAAACCAACAUUUUAAUAUUUUAAAAAAGUAACAUUAAACGUUAGAAAUAAAACUGAAAUCUUAUAUCGACACUCUAAAUUCCAAAUCCUAACUCUAUACUUGAAAUUAGACUUUAAACAUACACAUGAAACCUUAUACCCUAAACUCUAAAUCAUAAAUUAUGUUUUAAUUUUUUUCUUUUGGAGAAAAGUCACACAUUUUGUUUUAAUCUUUAAAAAAUUUAUCAUAAAAUUUUAAAUCAUUAACUAUUUCACCAAUAUAUAACCAUUAACUGUACAUACACAAAAUUAAUAUAUGUUUAACAAAAAAAAUAAAUUAACUAAAACAUGAUUAAACCAAAUCUUAAAAUAAACUAAAUAACCAUGUUUUAGUUUUGGCAUUAAAUUAAUUUUCCCAUGUUUUGAGAAUAUACUCUAUCUCAUAACCCUACUUGACUCUUCUAUCACUUUGUCUAUUUCACGUGUAGCCUCCAUCUACAUUCUACACAGUUGUUAAAAAAAGAAGCCUCCAUCUACACUUUAUCACGUUUUCUCUCUUCCUCUAGCAAAUCAACAAUCCUCCUGAUUCUUCUUAAUUUUUUUCUUCUAUUUGAUUAUGUAUCUCUCUCAUUUUCUUCUCCCCUAGCCCUCUCUUUCUUUCCCUUUAUUUCUCUGCAAUUUUAAGGAUUCAGAUUGCGAGUCAUUACCCUACUGCCUCUCAACGACUAUACAAAUCCGCAGUGGAGAUGGAGUUAACCAGUCAACAUUUCAGUCAGAUAUAGAUACAGCCGAAGAUGAUGUAGAUGCAGCCAAUGAUGAUUACAGAUUUAUAUCUGGCCAUUACAGUGGUAGAAGCUUUCGUUAGGAGGCCCGAGGAUCUGAAAAUUCAGUGCUAAUGAUGAUGAUGAAUACAAGGACGGCGGAGGUGUAGACAAGGGCCGAAGGAGAAGCUUCUAAUGCCGUCAGGUUGACGUAAUUUGAGGGAGGCAAAGGAGGCUGUGUAGUAGACCAGUGUUUACCCUAAUUUGCUUUCCUUUGAUCUGUAUUAUAAUUGGUUAUCUAAUACUACUAUUUUUUGUAACCAAUUAACCAAUAUAUGAUUUGGGAUAUCAAUAAAAUAUAUUUUAGUUA